rnacentral:tRNA from 1 species
GCCUGGGUGGCUCAGUUGGUUAAGCAUCUGACUUUGGCUCAGGUCACGAUCUCAUAGUUCCUGAGUUCAAGUCCCACAUCAGGCU